rnacentral:rRNA from 1 species
UAGUAACGGCGAGUGAAGCGGGAUGAGCUCAAGCUUAAAAUCUCUGUGCCAGUUUGGCAUGGCGAAUUGUAGUCUAUAGAGGCGUUGUCAGUGCGGCUGUGCGGGGUAAGUUCCUUGGAAGAGGACAGCAUCGAGGGUGAUACUCCCGUUUGUACCUGUGCGGCUUGCGCGUACGACACGUUUUCUUCGAGUCGCGUUGUUUGGGACUGCAGCGCAAAGUAGGUGGUAAAUUCCAUCUAAAGCUAAAUAUUGGUGCGAGACCGAUAGCGAACAAGUACCGUGAGGGAAAGAUGAAAAGAACUUUGAAAAGAGAGUUAAAGAGUACCUGAAACUGCUGAAAGGGAAGCGAAUCGUAUCCAGUGUCUAUAAUCUGCGGCAUAUUUCAUUGGCGGCGGUGCGCGUGCUUUUGCGUCGGAAGCGGCUUUUGUUGCUCUGUGCUUUUGCUGUGCGUGCUGUUGCUGGUGCCCUGUGUUGCGGUGGGACGUCAGAGUCAGUUUGUAUGCUGCGGGAAAUGGCUGCCGAGGAGGUAGGUCAGGAUUUCGGUCUUGGCUGUUAUAUCUUGGUGGUUUGUUGUCGUGGUUGAGACUGAGGUGCCUACAAUGUGCUUUUGAGUGUGCCGGGUUCUCAUUUGGUGGACUGUUUGGAUAGCUUGCUAUGCUUGUGGUUUUUUCAUCGGGUGAUUGAGUCUGGUGGUAACUUAUUGCCGUUC